rfam:Canis lupus familiaris chromosome 23, whole genome shotgun sequence.
GCCUGGGUGACUCAGUGGUUGAGUGUCUGCCUUUGGCUCAGAUCAUGAUCCCGGGAUCCUGGGAUCAAGUCCCACAUCAGGCU